AGCGAACGCUGGCGGCAUGCCUAACACAUGCAAGUCGAACGAACCUUUCGGGGUUAGUGGCUGCCGCGUGAGUUCCUCUUGGGUUCGUGCCUUUCGGUUCGGUAUCACUUAGGGAACCUUCUUCUAAUACCGGGUUUGCCUCUCGAAGGCAAGAUUAAUCGCAUUUAGGAUGGCCCGCGACGGUUUCGAUGCGUUGAUGAGGUAAUGGCUCACCAAUGCGACGAUCAGUAACUGGUCUGAGAGGAUGAACAGCCACAUUGGUACUGAGACACGGCCCAAACUCCUACGGGAGGCAGCAGUGGGGAAUCUUGCGCAAUGGGAGAAAGACUGACGCAGCCAUGCCGCGUGAAUGAUGAAGGUAUUAGGAUUGUAAAAUUCUUUCAUAGGGGAAGAAAAUGACGGUACCAGGAGAAGAAGCCCCGGCUAAAUUCGUG
rnacentral:rRNA from 1 species